CCUACGGGAGGCAGCAGUGGGGGAUAUUGCACAAUGGGGGGAACCCUGAUGCAGCGACGCCGCGUGGGUGAAGGAGCGUUUCGGUGCGUAAAGCCCUAUCGGCAGGGAAGAAGGAGGACGGUACCUGACUAAGAAGCCCCGGCUAACUACGUGCCAGCAGCCGCGGUAAUACGUAGGGGGCAAGCGUUAUCCGGAUUUACUGGGUGUAAAGGGGGCGCAGACGGCAGCGCAAGCCAGGAGUGAAAGCCCGGGGCCCAACCCCGGGACUGCUCUUGGAACUGCGCGGCUGGAGUGCAGGAGGGGCAGGCGGAAUUCCUGGUGUAGCGGUGAAAUGCGUAGAUAUCAGGAGGAACACCGGUGGCGAAGGCGGCCGGCUGGACUGCGACUGACGUUGAGGCCCGAAAGCGUGGGGAGCAAACAGGAUUAGAUACCCGAGUAGUC
rnacentral:rRNA from 1 species